rnacentral:rRNA from 1 species
UGAACGCUGGCGGCAGGCUUAACACAUGCAAGUCGAGCGGGGGAAGGUAGCUUGCUACUGGACCUAGCGGCGGACGGGUGAGUAAUGCUUAGGAAUCUGCCUAUUAGUGGGGGACAACAUCUCGAAAGGGAUGCUAAUACCGCAUACGUCCUACGGGAGAAAGCAGGGGAUCUUCGGACCUUGCGCUAAUAGAUGAGCCUAAGUCGGAUUAGCUAGUUGGUGGGGUAAAGGCCUACCAAGGCGACGAUCUGUAGCGGGUCUGAGAGGAUGAUCCGCCACACUGGGACUGAGACACGGCCCAGACUCCUACGGGAGGCAGCAGUGGGGAAUAUUGGACAAUGGGGGGAACCCUGAUCC